rnacentral:lncRNA from 1 species
GUAUGCAGAAGCACGGCAUUGCUUAUGCAUUGUGCAUAAUAAAGGUCGUACCCAGUGCACAAGGCUCCCGCUUUACGCAGGGUCUGGGAGAGGUGAAUGUCGGCUAGCCUUACCCCCAUUGUGCAUAAUAGCUUUUGAAAAUAUUUCAUGCGACAUUGUUGUCGUUAGGCAUUCAAGGAGUGAACUGAUGAACAGGUUGAAAUUGCAAAGCUAAACGAGUUUUUCUUUUGGUCGGGAUUCGGGAGAUUGACCAGUUAUUUUCAUGGAUGAUUUUUAUUUAAUGGAAUGAUGGCUCAUAUUCAAUUAGAGCCUUUAAUAUUGACUACUUGUGGCCCCUUUGAUAACCAUUUCGUUGUUAGUUUUUAGGUUUCAGUUUUUGUAGUAUAGUAUGUGGGAGAGAGGAAAACUGAAUAAAGGUGGAGGUAACGUAAAACUUAGAACUAAAACUAAAUGGUAAU